rnacentral:rRNA from 1 species
AGUCGAACGGCAGCACGGGUGCUUGCACCUGGUGGCGAGUGGCGAACGGGUGAGUAAUAUAUCGGAACGUACCCGGAAAUGGGGGAUAACGUAGCGAAAGUUACGCUAAUACCGCAUAUGCCCUGAGGGGGAAAGCGGGGGAUUCGUAAGAACCUCGCGUUUUCGGAGCGGCCGAUAUCGGAUUAGCUAGUAGGUGAGGUAAAGGCUCACCUAGGCGACGAUCCGUAGCUGGUCUGAGAGGACGACCAGCCACACUGGAACUGAGACACGGUCCAGACUCCUACGGGAGGCAGCAGUGGGGAAUUUUGGACAAUGGGCGCAAGCCUGAUCCAGCCAUGCCGCGUGAGUGAAGAAGGCCUUCGGGUUGUAAAGCUCUUUCAGCCGGAAAGAAAACGCACAAGUUAAUACCCUGUGUGGAUGACGGUAC